UACGGAGGGUGCAAGCGUUAUCCGGAUUCACUGGGUUUAAAGGGUGCGUAGGAGGGCAGGUAAGUCCGUGGUGAAAUCUCUGAGCUUAACUCAGAAACUGCCAUGGAUACUAUUUGUCUUGAAUAUUGUGGAGGUGAGCGGAAUAUGUCAUGUAGCGGUGAAAUGCUUAGAUAUGACAUAGAACACCAAUUGCGAAGGCAGCUCACUACACAGUUAUUGACGCUGAGGCACGAAAGCGUGGGGAUCAAACAGG
rnacentral:rRNA from 1 species